GCAAACUUGGUCAUUUAGAGGAAGUAAAAGUCGUAACAAGGUCUCCGUAGGUGAACCUGCGGAGGGAUCAUUACAGAGUUCGUGCCCUCGCGGGUAGAUCUCCCACCCUUGUGUAUUCUCUACAUCUUGUUGCUUUGGCAGGCCGUUGGUUCGCCAACCACCGGCUCUCGCGGGCUGGUGCGUGCCUGCCAGAGGACCCCUCAAACUCGGUUUGUCAGUGUCGUCUGAGUACCAUAACAAUCGUUAAAACUUUCAACAACGGAUCUCUUGGUUCUGGCAUCGAUGAAGAACGCAGC
rnacentral:misc_RNA from 1 species